rnacentral:lncRNA from 1 species
GCUUACCUUGUCAAAGACACGGAACGCCUCUCGGAUCUCCUCCUCACUGUCUGUGUCCUUCAUCUUUCUGGCCAUCAUGGUCAGGAACUCCGGGAAGUCAAUUGAUCAUAUCCUGCAGCUCUGCUUCAGUGGGGUUCUGUCCCAGGGAUCUCAUCACUGUCCCCAACUCCUUGGUGGUGAUAGUGCCAUCUCCAUCCUUGUCAAAGAGGGAGAAGGCCUCCUUGAACUCUG